rnacentral:lncRNA from 1 species
CCCUCUGUGGAUGCUUUCCAAGACCAGCCGUCUUCUUCACCUGCAAGCAAAACAACAGAGGAGAAAGAAGACUUCAUGACAUUAACAGCCCCCAACUCCCUAUCUCGUAACUCACGUCUCCAUUGUAGCUCCCAAACCCACUCCCCAUCCACCCGCUUUCCCCCCUCUUCAACUGUAGCAUCUUUAUUUGCACUUAGGUGGAAAAGGCGAGGGAAGACGAGUUUUAAAGGUUUCUCCCCAGCCCAACAAUGAAACCAAAAUUUUGUGUCCGCCCCCAUUUCCUAACUUCCUCCUAAUAUUUUGCAUGAACCAUCCCGAUUGUUUCCCACCCAAGGCCACAAUCUUCGCCCACCAGCCAGAUUUCUUCCAACUUCUAAAAGGCAAAGUAACUCCCUCCUCCCCCCAUUCAAGCUCACCAUACAACGAUCUCACCACUCUAACCCAAAGCGUCCCUCUCGAACUCAAGUACCUCCAUA